CUUUAAAUGGUCCUCCAUCAGCACACGGGGGAUCAUCGCGCCGCAUUUAUUGCUGCAGGGGACCGCGUCGUGCUUGCAGGUAUUCAGGAUUUCCUCAUUGCUGAUUACAAUAGAUAGAAACAUGAAGCUAUUAAUAAGAGAUUUAUAACUUGUAACGCGACAAGAGGUCAUGUAAGACUCGAUAUAUUAAUAACGGUAAGAAGAAUCGAUAAUUAUUCCUAUAAUUGAUUGGAAGGCCAGCACAAGUUAUCCAUAAGCCGUGUGGGAGUUAACAGUGCCGGGACCAGUUCAACGACCUAUCAGCGCAAGGUCGCCCAAGAUCAGAAAUGCAUAAUGAAACGAUCUUGAAAGCGUAUACUUGUUGAAGUCCUGGAAAUUCUGUAACACAAAAAAAGAAAGAUGA